CUGCAGCGAUGAACACGGCGCUGUCGCGGGCGAGCUCGCUGUUCGCCUUCUCGCUGAGCGUGAUGGCAGCGCUCACCUUCGGCUGCUUCAUCACCACCGCCUUCAAAGACAGGAGCGUCCCGGUGCGGAUCAUGCUAAAAAAUGUAGAAGAUUUCACCGGACCGAGAGAAACAAGCGAUCUGGGAUUUAUCACAUUUGAUGUAACUGCUGAUCUAGAGAAUAGAUUUGAUUGGAAUGUUAAGCAGUUGUUUCUUUAUUUAUCAGCAGAAUAUUCAACAAAAAAUAAUGCUCUGAACCAAGUUGUCCUGUGGGACAAAAUUGUUUUGAGAGGUGAUAAUCCGAAGCUGCUGCUGAAAGAUAUGAAAACAAAAUAUUUUUUCUUUGACAAUGGAAAUGGUCUCAAGGGAAACAGGAAUGUCACUUUGACCCUGUCUUGGAAUGUUGUACCAAAUGCUGGCAUUCUACCUCUUGUGACAGCAUCAGGACACGUAUCUGUCCCAUUUCCAGAUACAUAUGAAAUAACGAAGAGUUAUUAAAUUAUUCUGAAUUUGAAACAACAUAUUUUUAUACUCAAUGAAUUGUAUCUCAUUUAUCUCUUCCCUUGCAUCUUCAUUUGUUGUUACUUUUUUUGUUGUUGUUGUUUUGUUUUUUUUCGGUAUAAGACCUAACAUCAAAAGGCCUGUUUGAAGGGAAAGGUUAAUGGGCUACUUAAUUUUACAAACAAAACAGAAACCAAGGCUGUCACAGUGAAGUACUAUCUUACAAGAAUAAGAACUACAUAAAAAGGAUUGUAAAAAAUACAUAUUUGAAGUAUUUCCUGUAUUUCUGUUACUCUUUAUGGAAUAUAAAAUGAGCAUGAAGGGUAGUUAAAACUUUUCAGGUGCUUGUAGAGUCAUAAUAACUCUGUAUUUUAUGCCUUGCAUUCACGCAAGUUCACAUUGGAUGUGGUUUAAAAGUAGAUAUCCUCUUUUAUCUUUUUAAGGAUAUGUUUGAAUACUGGAAAAUUAAUAUGGUUAUUUGUUAGAAGUCUGGUUUAUAAAAAAGCCAAAAGUAAUGGAAUUUUAUUCCAUUUGUCUUAGGCAGGCCCAUAAUAUUUGUUUUUCUUACAUGUGACUAGCAAUUUUCUCCACUUAAAGACUAAAUACCUCUUUAUAUGCUGUAAAUCAUUCUAAUUCAUUUAAAAAUCUUUUAGGUCA